rnacentral:rRNA from 1 species
UUAGGUGCCCGUACCGCAAACCGACACAGGUAGUCAAGAUGAGAAUUCUAAGGUGAGCGAGCGAACUCUCGUUAAGGAACUCGGCAAAAUGACCCCGUAACUUCGGGAGAAGGGGUGCUCUUUAGGGUGCAAGCCCAGAAGAGCCGCAGUGAAUAGGCCCAAGCGACUGUUUAUCAAAAACACAGGUCUCUGCUAAACCGUAAGGUGAUGUAUAGGGGCUGACGCCUGCCCGGUGCUGGAAGGUUAAGAGGAGUGGUUAGCUUCUGCGAAGCUACGAAUCGAAGCCCCAGUAAACGGCGGCCGUAACUAUAACGGUCCUAAGGUAGCGAAAUUCCUUGUCGGGUAAGUUCCGACCCGCACGAAAGGCGUAACGAUUUGGGCACUGUCUCAACGAGAGACUCGGUGAAAUCAUAGUACCUGUG